rnacentral:rRNA from 1 species
GACAGAGGGGGCAAGCGUUGCUCGGAAUUACUGGGCGUAAAGGGCGCGUAGGCGGGAUGGCAAGUCGGUCGUGAAAUCCCUCGGCUCAACCGAGGAACGUCGAUCGAUACUGCUGUUCUUGAGGAUUGCAGAGGAGACUGGAAUUCCCGGUGUAGCGGUGAAAUGUGUAGAGAUCGGGAGGAACACCGGUGGCGAAGGCGGUCUGCUGGGCAGUAGCUGACACUGAGGCGCGACAGCGUGGGGAGCAAACAGG